rnacentral:rRNA from 1 species
CCUGGGGAGUACGACCGCAAGGUUGAAACUCAAAGGAAUUGACGGGGGCCCGCACAAGCGGUGGAGCAUGUGGUUUAAUUCGAAGCAACGCGAAGAACCUUACCAAGGCUUGACAUCCUGAUGACAGGCGUAGAGAUACGCUAUCCCUUCGGGGCAUUGGUGACAGGUGGUGCAUGGUUGUCGUCAGCUCGUGUCGUGAGAUGUUGGGUUAAGUCCCGCAACGAGCGCAACCCUUACCCUUAGUAGCCAUCAUUAAGUUGGGCACUCUAGGGGGACUGCCGUGGAUAACACGGAGGAAGGUGGGGAUGACGUCAAAUCAUCAUGCCCCUUAUGUCUUGGGCUACACACGUGCUACAAUGGCUGGCAACAAAGUGAAGCGAGACGGCGACGUUAAGCAAAUCACAAAAACCCAGUCCCAGUUCGGAUUGCAGUCUGCAACUCGAUUGCAUGAAGCUAGAAUCGCUAGUAAUCGCGAAUCAGAAUGUCGCGGUGAAUACGUU